GACGCCGCAACACAGAAACGUGAGAGCACAAUGAGUGUCGUUUACAUCUAGUACUGAGAUCAGUCUGCUGUGAUCCAGUCACAAGCAGUCAGCUGUGUACACCUGUAACAUGAGUCUCAAUGCGUCUCCUUGGUUGACCAGAAAGUUUGACCCUCGGAUGACCUCUGACCUCCUCUGCCAACACAAGCACAAAAAGCAGGAUAUCUAUCUGAAUGAGGACUUCCAGACCAGCUUCACAACGAAACUGGAAAUCCAGCUACAGAAUACCAAAUAUUCCCAUAGGAAUGCUUCCUCCAGCCAACAUUCCUCCAGUUGCCCAACAUAAGUCCGACAAAUUGUGAGAAGAAGAAGAAAGAAAAAAGAAAAAAAGUUGCUGCAUAAUGUGACCAACCCCAUAGGCAAUAAUGAAAGGGCAAUGCCAGCUUGUUUGGGAAUGAACGGUGACCGGAUUUGCUUUUUGAAAUAACCAGCGAAAGAGUUUCUGUGUACUUGGUUUUAGGGAGUUAGCCUUCAAAGGUUUUAGGGGACAGUGUCACAAAACUUAGAUUCCUGAGAGUUGAGUCAGUGCUAUUGGCGGUUCCCUAUAUCGUCAUUGCUAAUAUUGAUCCUAGAGGUCGGCCUUUGACCUCUCCCACCAUUCGCUUUUCCAUAUCCAGUGUUAUCUGAGAACAUCUGCAGCUAAGGUUCACAAGGGUCAGAGUACACAGAAUGUAAACACUGCACAGCGCCAUUAACACAUCACUGUACUCAGCACACAUUCAUGUGAGGUACACUUCUGUUUCUGUUAAAUGGAGUGUGAAUGUUCAUCGUUGUGCUAAUUUCCUGCUGUCAAAACAAAGAAGAUUAAACAUUUGCAAAAAAUAAAUAAUUAAAAAAAUACAUGCGCCACUAUACUUCCAGUCUUCUGCAAAAUAUGAUCAAGCCUGUUUAGUGCCUUCAUGAAAUAUUCAAAUACAAUUUUUUGGAAUAUGUAAAAAUAAAACAAAGUACC